UGUGACCCCUACUGUCCAGGGUGUUUCAAGGACCAUGGCUGCAAAGUUGCUUUACUGGCCUAUCCAGUGGCCCAUACCCAUGGGUCCACUCUAAUCACAUCUGAUGCUCCUUCUGCGCUCUCUCGUAGACUUCCCAGACAGACCUCGUGGUGUCGUCUCCUUCAGGAAGCUGUCACUGAGUCCCUUCUUUGGAAGCAAUAUCCUUCUGUUUCCACAGCACUUGACUUUGGCUCUGAUCUCAAGAUCACCAACUCUGCUAGG
rnacentral:lncRNA from 1 species